rnacentral:rRNA from 1 species
CAGUCGCCGCGGUAAUACAGAGGGUGCGAGCGUUAAUCGGAUUUACUGGGCGUAAAGCGUGCGUAGGCGGCUUCUUAAGUCGGAUGUGAAAUCCCUGAGCUUAACUUAGGAAUUGCAUUCGAUACUGGGAAGCUAGAGUAUGGGAGAGGAUGGUAGAAUUCCAGGUGUAGCGGUGAAAUGCGUAGAGAUCUGGAGGAAUACCGAUGGCGAAGGCAGCCAUCUGGCCUAAUACUGACGCUGAGGUACGAAAGCAUGGGGAGCGAACAGGAUUAGAUACCCCGGUAGUCCCUGUCUCUUAUAC